rnacentral:rRNA from 1 species
CAGGCCUAACACAUGCAAGUCGAGCGCGAAAGUGCCUUCGGGUGCGAGUAGAGCGGCGGACGGGUGCGUAACGCGUAGGAAUCUGCCUGGUAGUGGGGGAUAACUCGGGGAAACUCGAGCUAAUACCGCAUACGCCCCAUGGGGGAAAGCGGGGGACUUCGGGCCUCGCGCUAUCAGAUGAGCCUGCGUCGGAUUAGCUAGUUGGUAGGGUAAUGGCCUACCAAGGCGACGAUCCGUAGCUGGUCUGAGAGGAUGAUCAGCCACACUGGGACUGAGACACGGCCCAGACUCUACGGGAGGCAGCAGUGGGGAAUUUUGGACAAUGGGCGCAAGCCUGAUCCAGCCAUGCCGCGUGCAGGAUGAAGGCUUCGGGUUGUAAACUGCUUUUGUACGGAACGAAAAGACUCCUUCUAAUAAAGGGGGUACAUGACGGUACCGUAAGAAUAAGCACCGGCUAACUACGUGCCAGCAGCCGCGGUAAU